GGUACUACUUACUGGGUAGGGAGUUUGUACUGAUCACUGACCAUGCCCCACUCAAAUGGAUGGCAGUGAAUAAAGAUAGUAACGCCCGUGUUACUAGGUGGUUUCUGGGGCUACAGUCUUUCCGCUUCAGGGUGGAACAUCGAGCCGGGAAGCUCCACGGGAAUGCUGAUGCCCUGUCCAGACGGGAGGAAUGCCUAUGGACGGGCGCUCCAGGGAACGGCAUGGAGCUGAGGGAAGGGGUAUGUGGCGCCCCGAUCCCUUAUCGGUGCUCCCCACGAGACCACCAGGACGGCCGAGCCCAUCGACACUGGCGGCCGCUGGGAAAAGUGGUGAGUGGGCGGUACCUAGCAAACCCCUGUCUAGAGACGUUCAGGACCCUGGACAGCCCCCGGCAGACCAACUGAGGCGACAACCGGCAGCACCAUGGACAGGGCUGCAGCAGAGGGAAGAAGAGGCUGUGAAGACCUGGAGCGGAGCACUGAUACCCCGACCGGGAAGACUUUUUAGUUGUUUUUGGCUCCCCCUACCCCUACCCCCACUCAUUACAAUUAUUAAAGACCUUUUUUGUUAAACACUA